rnacentral:rRNA from 1 species
UGGGGAAUAUUGCACAAUGGGCGCAAGCCUGAUGCAGCCAUGCCGCGUGUGUGAAGAAGGCCUUCGGGUUGUAAAGCACUUUCAGUCGUGAGGAAGGUAGUGUAGUUAAUAGCUGCAUUAUUUGACGUUAGCGACAGAAGAAGCACCGGCUAACUCCGUGCCAGCAGCCGCGGUAAUACGGAGGGUGCGAGCGUUAAUCGGAAUUACUGGGCGUAAAGCGCAUGCAGGUGGUUUGUUAAGUCAGAUGUGAAAGCCCGGGGCUCAACCUCGGAAUUGCAUUUGAAACUGGCAGGCUAGAGUACUGUAGAGGGGGGUAGAAUUUCAGGUGUAGCGGUGAAAUGCGUAGAGAUCUGAAGGAAUACCGGUGGCGAAGGCGGCCCCC